GCUCUGUCUUGCCCGUUUUGGAACUUAAUCAGUAGAUCGCUGGUAGUUGCGCUUGAGGGUAUUGAUGGUUUGGGCAGGCGGAACAUCCCAUCUAGUUGUAUUCCUUUGGCUUGCCUGGGGGAUAAGAGGGCCGUGAAUAGCCUUCGCAUAAAGUGAGGCAAUUCUGCUGGGAGAACUCCAUCAGAUAGGCCCCUGAUUUUUACAUGUUUCCACCGUCGUUUAUCUUCCAUAGCGGCUAGUUGGUGGGUGAGAGUAGUGUGAGCAGCUGUCAGGUCGGUGACCUGCCUCUGUAGUGCCAGGACCUGUG